UACGGAGGGUGCAAGCAUUGAUCGGAAUUACUGGGCGUAAAGGGCGCGUAGGCGGUUUUGUAAGUCAGAUGUGAAAUUCCGGGGCUCAACCCCGGAGCUGCAUUUGAAACUGCGGAACUUGAGUAUAGUUAGGGUAAACGGAAUUCCACGUGUAGCGGUGAAAUGCGUAGAUAUGUGGAAGAACACCAGUGGUGAAGACGGUUUACUGGGCUAUAACUGACGCUGAGGCGCGAAAGCAUGGGGAGCAAAC
rnacentral:rRNA from 1 species